AUUGAACGCUGGCGGCAGGCUUAACACAUGCAAGUCGAGCGAGCGGCGGACGGGUGAGUAAUGUCUGGGAAAAUGCCUGAUGGACGGGGAUAACUACUGGACACGGUAGCUAAUACUGCAUACCCUUCGAUGUGCCCAGAUGGGGUUAGUUAGUGGGUGGGGUAAUGGCUCACCUAGGCGACGCGCCCUAGCUGGUCUGAGAGGAUAACCAGCCACCCUGGGACUGAGACACGGUCAAGAAUCCUACGGUAGGCAGGAGUGGGGAAUAUUGCACAAUGGGCGCAAGCCUGAUGCAGCCAUGCCGCGUGUGUGAAGAAGGCCAUCGGGUUGUAAAGCACUUUCAGCGGGGAGGCGUUACUCGCAGAAGAAGCACCGGCUAACUCCGUGCCAGCAGCCGCGGUAAUUC
rnacentral:rRNA from 1 species